UACGUAGGGGGGCAAGCGUUGUCCGGAUUCAUUGGGCGUAAAGAGCGUGUAGGCGGCCAAGCAGGUCCGUUGUGAAAACUGGAGGCUUAACCUCCAGACGUCGACGGAAACCGCGUGGCUAGAGUCCGGAAGAGGAGAGUGGAAUUCCUGGUGUAGCGGUGAAAUGCGCAGAUAUCAGGAAGAACACCAAUGGCGAAGGCAGCUCUCUGGGACGGUACUGACGCUGAGACGCGAAAAGCGUGGGGAGCGAACAGG
rnacentral:rRNA from 1 species